rnacentral:rRNA from 1 species
GACGAACGCUGGCGGCGUGCUUAACACAUGCAAGUCGAACGGAAAGGCCCUGCUUUUGUGGGGUGCUCGAGUGGCGAACGGGUGAGUAACACGUGAGUAACCUGCCCUUGACUUUGGGAUAACUUCAGGCAACUGGGGCUAAUACCGGAUAGGAGCUCCUGCUGCCUGGUGGGGGUUGGAAAGUUUCGGCUGUUGGGGAUGGACUCGCGGCUUAUCAGCUUGUUGGUGGGGUAGUGGCUUACCAAGGCUUUGACGGGUAGCCGGCCUGAGAGGGUGACCGGCCACAUUGGGACUGAGAUACGGCCCAGACUCCUACGGGAGGCAGCAGUGGGGAAUAUUGCACAAUGGGCGGAAGCCUGAUGCAGCAACGCCGCGUGCGGGAUGACGGCCUUAGGGUUGUAAACCGCUUUCGCCUGUGACGAAGCGUGAGUGACGGUAAUGGGUAAAGAAGCACCGGCUAACUACGUG